rnacentral:lncRNA from 1 species
UAGUCCCUAAUAAAAUAUCUAAAAAGACUUAUAUUUAGAAACGGAGGGAGUGUACUACAAGAUGUUGAGAUUUGGGAUGAGAUUAAGAGCAAAGGAAGUUAAACCACGAAGCAUAACCCUUAUUGCAUCUGUUGCAUCCAGAACCGAUAUUCCGUGAGACAUUACAAGUUUCGUGAAGAUGAUGUACUAUAAACAUAAUACGUGUCCAACAUGCCAGAUCACGUCAAACUUUGAAAAUUUGUAGGAUCAUAAAUGCCCAUAUAUGUAAAAUUAACUGGACGAUCUCGCAAGAAGAAGAAGAACGCUCCUUAUAUAUAUUUACUUAUUAUAAACCGACUAUACGAACACAAGCAUAUAGUAAUUGGGUGCAUGCGUUCUUACCUUAACAUCGUGCAUGCCGUCCGUAGCUGGAAGCUUCCCCUUCCUCUCCGUCAUCCCCAUCGCCAUCGUCGACGGCUGGCUCUUCAGCAUCGGGCCGUCCCCGGCAUUGUCCUCGCCACUGACGAUCGGGUAGAGCCACGCUGCCAUCAUGUCCUCGGAAGGUGGCAGCGCAGCAGCGGACGCUUGCGGUGGCUCUAGCGCGGCUCCUUCCCAUGCCAACCCGAGUAGACCUUCACUGCAAGAACGCACAUACACGUGCAUAUCAUUUGAAUCAUGCAUUGACUAGCUAGGGAAACAGCCAAAUCAAACUACAUGCAUGGAGCUGUCAACGAACAUGUCGAGGAACUCGUCGUCGCCGGCGGCGGCGGCUGCAAACGGCGUGGCCUCGCCGGGGCAGUCGUCGGGGUACCACCAAGGAUCUGUAGCUGGAUCGUCCGUCCAUCGCUCAGCCCAAGGUUGGAAGAACCUAGGGAUGUACGUGGUC